AAAUUGAAGAGUUUGAUCAUGGCUCAGAUUGAACGCUGGCGGCAGGCCUAACACAUGCAAGUCGAACGGUAACAGGAAACAGCUUGCUGUUUCGCUGACGAGUGGCGGACGGGUGAGUAAUGUCUGGGAAACUGCCUGAUGGAGGGGGAUAACUACUGGAAACGGUAGCUAAUACCGCAUAAUGUCGCAAGACUAAAGAGGGGGACCUUCGGGCCUCUUGCCAUCGGAUGUGCCCAGAUGGGAUUAGCUAGUAGGUGGGGUAACGGCUCACCUAGGCGACGAUCCCUAGCUGGUCUGAGAGGAUGACCAGCCACACUGGAACUGAGACACGGUCCAGACUCCUACGGGAGGCAGCAGUGGGGAAUAUUGCACAAUGGGCGCAAGCCUGAUGCAGCCAUGCCGCGUGUAUGAAGAAGGCCUUCGGGUUGUAAAGUACUUUCAGCGGGGAGGAAGGGAGUAAAGUUAAUACCUUUACUCAUUGACGUUACCCGCAGAAGAAGCACCGGCUAAC
rnacentral:rRNA from 1 species